rnacentral:rRNA from 1 species
UACGGGGGGGGCAAGCGUUGUUCGGAAUUACUGGGCGUAAAGGGCUUGUAGGUGGCCAACUAAGUCAGACGUGAAAUCCCUCGGCUUAACCGGGGAACUGCGUCUGAUACUGGAUGGCUAGAGGUGUGGGAGAGGGAUGCGGAAUUCCAGGUGUAGCGGUGAAAUGCGUAGAUAUCUGGAGGAACACCGGUGGCGAAGGCGGCAUCCUGGACCGGCAUUGACGCUGAGGCGCGAAAGCCAGGGGAGCCAAAGCGGG